GGGUUGUGAGGUUAAGCGACUAAGCGUACACGGUGGAUGCCCUGGCAGUCAGAGGCGAUGAAGGACGUGCUAAUCUGCGAUAAGCGUCGGUAAGGUGAUAUGAACCGUUAUAACCGGCGAUUUCCGAAUGGGGAAACCCAGUGUGUUUCGACACACUAUCAUUAACUGAAUCCAUAGGUUAAUGAGGCGAACCGGGGGAACUGAAACAUCUAAGUACCCCGAGGAAAAGAAAUCAACCGAGAUUCCCCCAGUAGCGGCGAGCGAACGGGGAGCAGCCCAGAGCCUGAAUCAGUGUGUGUGUUAGUGGAAGCGUCUGGAAAGGCGCGCGAUACAGGGUGACAGCCCCGUACACAAAAAUGCACAUGCUGUGAGCUCGAUGAGUAGGGCGGGACACGUGGUAUCCUGUCUGAAUAUGGGGGGACCAUCCUCCAAGGCUAAAUACUCCUGACUGACCGAUAGUGAACCAGUACCGUGAGGGAAAGGCGAAAAGAACCCCGGCGAGGGGAGUGAAAAAGAACCUGAAACCGUGUACGUACAAGCAGUGGGAGCACGCUUAGGCGUGUGACUGCGUACCUUUUGUAUAAUGGGUCAGCGACUUAUAUUCUGUAGCAAGGUUAACCGAAUAGGGGAGCCGAAGGGAAACCGAGUCUUAACUGGGCGUUAAGUUGCAGGGUAUAGACCCGAAACCCGGUGAUCUAGCCAUGGGCAGGUUGAAGGUUGGGUAACACUAACUGGAGGACCGAACCGACUAAUGUUGAAAAAUUAGCGGAUGACUUGUGGCUGGGGGUGAAAGGCCAAUCAAACCGGGAGAUAGCUGGUUCUCCCCGAAAGCUAUUUAGGUAGCGCCUCGUGAAUUCAUCUCCGGGGGUAGAGCACUGUUUCGGCAAGGGGGUCAUCCCGACUUACCAACCCGAUGCAAACUGCGAAUACCGGAGAAUGUUAUCACGGGAGACACACGGCGGGUGCUAACGUCCGUCGUGAAGAGGGAAACAACCCAGACCGCCAGCUAAGGUCCCAAAGUCAUGGUUAAGUGGGAAACGAUGUGGGAAGGCCCAGACAGCCAGGAUGUUGGCUUAGAAGCAGCCAUCAUUUAAAGAAAGCGUAAUAGCUCACUGGUCGAGUCGGCCUGCGCGGAAGAUGUAACGGGGCUAAACCAUGCACCGAAGCUGCGGCAGCGACGCUUAUGCGUUGUUGGGUAGGGGAGCGUUCUGUAAGCCUGUGAAGGUGUACUGUGAGGUAUGCUGGAGGUAUCAGAAGUGCGAAUGCUGACAUAAGUAACGAUAAAGCGGGUGAAAAGCCCGCUCGCCGGAAGACCAAGGGUUCCUGUCCAACGUUAAUCGGGGCAGGGUGAGUCGACCCCUAAGGCGAGGCCGAAAGGCGUAGUCGAUGGGAAACAGGUUAAUAUUCCUGUACUUGGUGUUACUGCGAAGGGGGGACGGAGAAGGCUAUGUUGGCCGGGCGACGGUUGUCCCGGUUUAAGCGUGUAGGCUGGUUUUCCAGGCAAAUCCGGAAAAUCAAGGCUGAGGCGUGAUGACGAGGCACUACGGUGCUGAAGCAACAAAUGCCCUGCUUCCAGGAAAAGCCUCUAAGCAUCAGGUAACAUCAAAUCGUACCCCAAACCGACACAGGUGGUCAGGUAGAGAAUACCAAGGCGCUUGAGAGAACUCGGGUGAAGGAACUAGGCAAAAUGGUGCCGUAACUUCGGGAGAAGGCACGCUGAUAUGUAGGUGAAGUCCCUCGCGGAUGGAGCUGAAAUCAGUCGAAGAUACCAGCUGGCUGCAACUGUUUAUUAAAAACACAGCACUGUGCAAACACGAAAGUGGACGUAUACGGUGUGACGCCUGCCCGGUGCCGGAAGGUUAAUUGAUGGGGUUAGCGCAAGCGAAGCUCUUGAUCGAAGCCCCGGUAAACGGCGGCCGUAACUAUAACGGUCCUAAGGUAGCGAAAUUCCUUGUCGGGUAAGUUCCGACCUGCACGAAUGGCGUAAUGAUGGCCAGGCUGUCUCCACCCGAGACUCAGUGAAAUUGAACUCGCUGUGAAGAUGCAGUGUACCCGCGGCAAGACGGAAAGACCCCGUGAACCUUUACUAUAGCUUGACACUGAACAUUGAGCCUUGAUGUGUAGGAUAGGUGGGAGGCUUUGAAGUGUGGACGCCAGUCUGCAUGGAGCCG
rnacentral:rRNA from 1 species